GUGGGGAAUUUUGGACAAUGGGCGAAAGCCUGAUCCAGCAAUGCCGCGUGCAGGAUGAAGGCCUUCGGGUUGUAAACUGCUUUUGUACGGAACGAAAAAGCUUCUCCUAAUACGAGAGGUCCAUGACGGUACCGUAAGAAUAAGCACCGGCUAACUACGUGCCAGCAGCCGCGGUAAUACGUAGGGUGCAAGCGUUAAUCGGAAUUACUGGGCGUAAAGCGUGCGCAGGCGGUUAUGUAAGACAGAUGUGAGAUCCCCGGGCUCAACCUGGGAACUGCAUUUGUGACUGCAUGGCUAGAGUACGGUAGAGGGGGAUGGAAUUCCGCGUGUAGCAGUGAAAUGCGUAGAUAUGCGGAGGAACACCGAUGGCGAAGGCAAUCCCCUGGACCUGUACUGACGCUCAUGCACGAAAGCGUGGGGAGCAAACAGGAUUAGAUACCCGAGUAGUCC
rnacentral:rRNA from 1 species